rnacentral:rRNA from 1 species
UACGUAGGGCGCAAGCGUUGUCCGGAAUUAUUGGGCGUAAAGAGCUCGUAGGCGGCUUGUCACGUCGGAUGUGAAAACCCGGGGCUCAACCCCGGGCUUGCAGUGGAUACGGGCAGACUAGAGUUCGGUAGGGGAGACUGGAAUUCCUGGUGUAGCGGUGAAAUGCGCAGAUAUCAGGAGGAACACCGGUGGCGAAGGCGGAUCUCUGGGCCAUUACUGACGCUGAGGAGCGAAAGCGUGGGGAGCGAACAGG